AGAACCAGGGACGAGGCUCAAAUCUGGAGACAUCGUGCGAUGAAAGCUGCAGACUUGAACAGUGCAAUAAAGGAUGCGCCGGGAGAAAUCGCUCCCUCGAGUCAUCUUGUAAACAGUUUUGUAUGGACGAGGGGCCGUCAUCGCAGCAGGGAGAGCGCUGGUACUGCGUCAUCGGCUGUAACAUCGCCGUCAGUCGAUACGUUCAGCAGCUCAGAGAGGAGCUCCAGCUGGGCGCUCCGACUCUGGUGCCGGACUCGCUGACGGCCGAC